rnacentral:tRNA from 1 species
GUGGGUAUCGUCAAGCGGUUAAGACCCAGGGUUGUGGUUCCUGUAUGCGUGGGUUCGAGUCCCACUACCCACCCCA